rnacentral:rRNA from 1 species
CCUACGGGUGGGCAGCAGUGGGGAAUAUUGGACAAUGGGGGGAACCCUGAUCCAGCCAUGCCGCGUGUGUGAAGAAGGCCCUCGGGGUGUAAAGCACUUUCAGUGAGGAAGAACGCCUGGUGGUUAAUACCCAUCAGGAAAGACAUCACUCACAGAAGAAGCACCGGCUAACUCCGUGCCAGCAGCCGCGGUAAUACGGAGGGUGCGAGCGUUAAUCGGAAUUACUGGGCGUAAAGCGCGCGUAGGUGGCUUGAUAAGCCGGUUGUGAAAGCCCCGGGCUCAACCUGGGAACGGCAUCCGGAACUGUCAAGCUAGAGUGCAGGAGAGGAAGGUAGAAUUCCCGGUGUAGCGGUGAAAUGCGUAGAGAUCGGGAGGAAUACCAGUGGCGAAGGCGGCCUUCUGGACUGACACUGACACUGAGGUGCGAAAGCGUGGGUAGCAAACAGGAUUAGAUACCCUAGUAGUC